GGGCGAUUGGUUUAGUGGUAUAAUACCUCUUUGUUCGUACCUCCUCCCCUUCCUGGGGAGCCCUUCCUAACCAAAUUUAGAGCAUGCGCUGGCAGACGUCAGUCGACCUAGAGGUGGUCCAGGGUUCGAUUCCCUGAUCGUCCA
rnacentral:tRNA from 1 species